rnacentral:rRNA from 1 species
AUUGAACGCUGGCGGCAGGCCUAACACAUGCAAGUCGAACGAGUGGCGGACGGGUGAGUAAUGUCUGGGAAACUGCCUGAUGGAGGGGGAUAACUACUGGAAACGGUAGCUACUACCGCCUACCAUCGGAUGUGCCCAGAGGGGAUUAGCUAGUAGGUGGGGUAAAGGCUCACCUAGGCGAUGAUCCCUAGCUGGUCUGAGAGGAUGACCAGCCACACUGGAACUGAGACACGGUCCAGACUCCGACGGGAGGCAGCAGUGGGGAAUAUUGCACAAUUGGCGCAAGCCUGAUGCAGCCAUUCCGCGUGUAUGAAGAAGGCCUUCGGGUUGUAAAGUACUUUCAGCGGGGAGGCGUUACCCGCAGAAGAAGCACCGGCUAACUCCGUGCCAGCAGCCGCGGUAAUUC